UACAGGGGGCCCGAGCGUUAAUCGGAAUCACUGGGCUUAAAGGGUGCGUAGGCGGAUCAGGAAGUGUUUCGUGAAAACCCCCGGCUCAACCGGGGAACUGCGGAGCAAACUCCUGAUCUUGAGGGAAGUAUGGGCGGACAGAACUAUCGGUGGAGCGGUGAAAUGCGUAGAUAUCGAUAGGAAUGCCGAUGGCGAAGGCGGUCCGCUGGGCUUCUCCUGACGCUCAGGCACGAAAGCGUGGGGAGCAAACAGG
rnacentral:rRNA from 1 species